AUGGAGGUGACAAGAGAUUGCCAGAGACAUGAGCUUGACUCUAGAUGGAGAAUGAUGGCCAAGUUUGUUUGAGACAGGAGCUCAUGUAGCUUGAACUUGCUAUGAAGCUACGAAGGAUGACCUUGAACUCCAGUUCGAGAAGGGUGAUCUUUUUACCCCAGUGUUUGGCUUGCAGACAGCAGCCUAUGUCUGAGCCCGGGGAUCAUUCUUCUGCUUGGUGUAGCCUAUCACUGAGGUUUGACGGAGGCUAUUAUUAACUCUCCAGGCUUCUGUGAGGCUCCUUUGAAGAAGCUCUGGCUCUGUUGAAUCAUGAGGUUGUGUCUGGAAGCAUCUUCCUGUCUUCACUUCUCCCGGGCCCUUUGUCUCUGCAGUAUUUGUCUCUGAGGCAGCAAGCAGCUCUCCUGCAAACAGUUGGCCCUGGAGGGCUGGAUGGAUGGCGUGGCUGGUGCUGAAGAGGCAGAUGGCUUGGUUCAUUAGGAGCAGGCCAUAUGUCCAUCAGAUGGGCAUGUCCAAAACUCACUAAUUUGGACAAACCAGCUCAUUCAGAUUGGCGAGUGUUCACCGAGCCAUGGUGCUAGGGGCUGGAGAUUUGAAGGCUGGUGGCAUCUCCCCCUCAGCACGUCAGCAUCUGUCCUGAAAGGAAAUUCUAUUGCUUUGUCGAGUCAUGAGCAGCCAGGUUUCUCCCUUACGUUGCUAGGACAUCUCUUAAUUAAAAAACAAAAACAAUUU
rnacentral:lncRNA from 1 species